UCGGGUGGGGCGGGGAGGGUUAUUGUCUGCCGUUGCUUGCUCCAUUCGACUGGAGUUUUCUCACUUAUAAAAUUAAUUCUUCUAUCAGUGGUCCCCAGUCUUGACUCAACAUGCUGAACUUUAAGAAAAAAAAAAAAGACGCUUGGGUCACACCCCACGAUUCUGAUUUAACUGUUCUGGGGUGGGGCCUGAAAAAGGAGGUUUUUCAGUCUCCUCAGGUGUUAGUAGUUUGUCGCUGAGACUGAGAAUUGCCGCUAAAGUGGAGUUACCUAAAGCUUCCAGCAGAGGACGCUGCCUCCCUGCUCAUCCAGGGAAACGUGCUCAGGGAAACCAGAAUGCCGCAGUUGCGAUGGGAGGGGCUCGAAAUCUGGCUGCUGCGUAAACCAGGUUGAUGCAGUUAAGGAAAGGGGCCAGAUGCCCUAGCCCUUGGAUCGCCGACGCUUUUGUGUUGAGACUCCUAGAAAGUUACCUUAAAAAGUGGAGUGCAGACUUGUGGGUACCCAAGGCUGGUGAAGAGGCCAACCAUCAAAACUAUGAGAGAGAAGGCAGAAGGCAACAACACUGUUUAGCUCCCACAUAUCAGUGA
rnacentral:lncRNA from 13 species